rnacentral:misc_RNA from 1 species
GAUCAUUACUGAUUUGCUUAAUUGCACCACAUGUGUUUUUUAUUGAACAAAUUUCUUUGGUGGCGGGAGCAAUCCUACCGCCAGAGGUUAUAACUAAACCAAACUUUUUAUUUACAGUCAAACUUGAUUUAUUAUUACAAUAGUCAAAACUUUCAACAACGGAUCUCUUGGUUCUCGCAUCGAUGAAGAACGCAGCGAAAUGCGAUACGUAAUAUGAAUUGCAGAUAUUCGUGAAUCAUCGAAUCUUUGAACGCACAUUGCGCCCUUUGGUAUUCCAAAGGGCAUGCCUGUUUGAGCGUCAUUUCUCCCUCAAACCCCCGGGUUUGGUGUUGAGCAAUACGCUAGGUUUGUUUGAAAGAAUUUAACGUGGAAACUUAUUUUAAGCGACUUAGGUUUAUCCAAAACGCUUAUUUUGCUAGUGGCCACCACAAUUUAUUUCAUAACUUUGACCUCAAAUCAGGUAGGACUACCCGCUGAACUUAAGCAUAUCAAUAA